rnacentral:rRNA from 1 species
CUGUAGGAGGUAUCGACCCCUUCUGUAGCGAAGCUAACGCGUUAAGUAUCCCGCCUGUGGAGUACGGUCGCAAGACUAAAACAUAAAGGAAUUGACGGGGACCCGCACAAGCGGUGGAUUGUGUUCUUUAAUUCGAUGAUAAACGAAGAACCUUACCAGGGUUUGACAUCCCAAGAAUUUUGCCGAAAGGCGAGAGUGCUUUAUUGAACUUGGUGACAGGUGAUGCAUGGCCGUCGUCAGCUCGUGUCGUGAGAUGUUUGGUUAAGUCCAUCAACGAGCGCAACCCUUGUGAUUAGUUGAAUUUUUCUAAUCAGACUGCCCCGGCAACGGGGAGGAAGGAGGGGAUGAUGUCAGGUCAGUAUUUCCCUUACAUCCUGGGCUAGAAACGCAAUACAAUGGCCAGUACAAUGUGCAGCGAAGCCGCGAGGUGAAGCAAAUCACAUCAAAGCUGGUCCCAGUUCGGAUUAGAGGCUGAAACUCGCCUCUAUGAAGUCGGAAUCGCUAGUAAUCGCAGAUCAGCAAGCUGCGGUGAAUACGUUCCCGGGCCUUGUACACACCGCC